GAUCCUGGCUCAGAAUCAACGCUGGCGGCGUGCCUAACACAUGCAAGUCGAACGAGAAAGUGGAGCAAUCCAUGAGUAAAGUGGCGCACGGGUGAGUAACACGUGACUAACCUACCCUUGAGUGGGGGAUAACCUCGGGAAACCGGGGCUAAUACCGCAUAAUACCUACGGGUCAAAGGAGCAAUUCGCUUUAGGAGGGGGUCGCGGCAGAUUAGUUAGUUGGCGGGGUAAUGGCCCACCAAGACGGUGAUCUGUAUCCGGCCUGAGAGGGCGCACGGACACACUGGAACUGAAACACGGUCCAGACUCCUACGGGAGGCAGCAGUGGGGAAUUUUGCGCAAUGGGGGAAACCCUGACGCAGCAACGCCGCGUGGAGGAUGAAGUCCCUUGGGACGUAAACUCCUUUCGAUCGGGACGAUUAUGACGGUACCGGAAGAAGAAGCCCCGGCUAACUUCGUGCCAGCAGCCGCGGUAAUACGAGGGGGGCGAGCGUUGUUCGGAAUUAUUGGGCGUAAAGGGCGCGUAGGCGGUCGGAUAAGUCUUGUGUGAAAUCUUCGGGCUCAACUCGAAGUCUGCACAGGAAACUAUCUGGCUUGAGUGUGGGAGAGGUGAGUGGAAUUCCUGGUGUAGCGGUGAAAUGCGUAGAUAUCAGGAGGAACACCUGUGGCGAAAGCGGCUCACUGGACCAC
rnacentral:rRNA from 1 species